UCGAACGAGAUCUUCGGAUCUAGUGGCAGACGGGUGCGUAACGCGUGGGAACCUGCCCUUUAGUAAGGAAUAACUCAGGGAAACUUGUGCUAAUACCUUAUAAUCCCUUCGGGGGAAAGCUUUAUGCGCUAAUGGAUGGGCCCGCGUUAGAUUAGCUAGUUGGUGAGGUAAAAGCUCACCAAGGCGAUAAUCAAUAGCUGAUUUGAGAGGAUGAUCAGCCACACUGGGACUGAGAUACGGCCCAGACUCC
rnacentral:rRNA from 1 species